CUAAAACGAUGUCAACUAGUUCUUGGGGUCUUAAACGAUUUCAGUACUGNNGCNAACGCGUGAAGUUGACCGCCNNGGAGUACGGCCGCCAGGUUGAAACUCAAAGGAAUUGACGCGGACCCGCACAAGCGGUGGAUGAUGUGGUUUAAUUCGAUGCAACGCGAAAAACCUUACCCACCUUUGACAUGUACGGGGUCCUUUAGAGAUAGAGGAGUGCUCGAAAGAGAGCCGUAACACAGGUGCUGCAUGGCUGUCGUCAGCUCGUGUCGUGAGAUGUUGGGUUAAGUCCCGCAACGAGCGCAACCCUUGCCAUUAGUUGCUACGAAAGGGCACUCUAAUGGGACUGCCGGUGACAAACCGGAGGAAGGUGGGGAUGACGUCAAGUCCUCAUGGCCCUUAUAGGUGGGGCUACACACGUCAUACAAUGGCUGGUACAAAGGGUUGCCAACCCGCGAGGGGGAGCUAAUCCCAUAAAGCCAGUCGUAGUCCGGAUCGCAGUCUGCAACUCGACUGCGUGAAGUCGGAAUCGCUAGUAAUCGUGGAUCAGAAUGUCACGGUGAAUACGUUCCCGGGUCUUGUACACACCGCCCGUCACACCAUGGGAGCGGGUCUCGCCCAGAAAGUAGGUAGCCCUAANNNU
rnacentral:rRNA from 1 species